rnacentral:rRNA from 1 species
CCUACGGGAGGCUGCAGUGAGGAAUAUUGGUCAAUGGACGAGAGCCUGAACCAGCCAAGUCGCGUGAAGGAUGACUGCCCUAUGGGUUGUAAACUUCUUUUAUAUGGGAAUAAAAUGUUCCACGUGUGGGAUUUUGUAUGUACCAUAUGAAUAAGGAUCGGCUAACUCCGUGCCAGCAGCCGCGGUAAUACGGAGGAUCCGAGCGUUAUCCGGAUUUAUUGGGUUGAACGGGAGCGUAGGUGGAUUGUUAAGUCAGUUGUGAAAGUUUGCGGCACAACCGUAAAAUUGCAGUUGAAACUGGCAGUCUUGAGUACAGUAGAGGUGGGCGGAAUUCGUGGUGUAGCGGUGAAAUGCUUAGAUAUCACGAAGAACUCCGAUUGCGAAGGCAGCUCACUGGACUGCAACUGACACUGAGGCUCGAAAGUGUGGGUAUCAAACAGGAUUAGAUACCCCAGUAGUC